rnacentral:rRNA from 1 species
AUUGAACGCUGGCGGCAGGCCUAACACAUGCAAGUCGAACGAGUGGCGGACGGGUGAGUAAUGUAUGGGAAACUGCCCGAUGGAGGGGGAUAACUACUGGAAACGGUAGCUAAUACCGCAUACCAUCGGAUGAGCCCAGAUGGGAUUAGCUAGUAGGUGGGGUAAAGGCUCACAUAGGCGACGAUCUCUCGCUGGUCUGAGAGGAUGACCAGACACACUGGAAGUGAGACACGGUCCAGACGCCUACGGGAGGCAGCAGUGGGGAAUAUUGCACAAUGGGCGCAAGCCUGAUGCAGCCAUGCCGCGUGUAUGAAGAAGGCCUUCGGGUUGUAAAGUACUUUCAGCGAGGAGGCGUUACCCGCAGAAGAAGCACCGGCUAACUCCGUGCCAGCAGCCGCGGUAAUAC